AUGGUUUUGGCUCAGUGGUAGAGUGCUUGCCUAGCACACAUGAGGCCCUGGGUUCAUUCCCCAGUACCACA
rnacentral:tRNA from 1 species